rnacentral:rRNA from 1 species
AAGGACAUCCUUUGAGAAUAUCAAGCGAGCCGCAGGCUCGCUUGAUGGAGGGGAGCGGCAGACGGGUGAGUAACGCGUGGGAAACUACCCUUUGGUACGGAAUAACUCAGGGAAACUUGAGCUAAUACCGUAUGUGUCCUUCGGGAGAAAGAUUUAUCGCCAAGGGAUGUGCCCGCGUAGGAUUAGCUAGUUGGUGGGGUAAUGGCCCACCAAGGCGACGAUCCUUAGCUGGUGUGAGAGGAUGAUCAGCCACACUGGGACUGAGACACGGCCCAGACUCCUACGGGAGGCAGCAGUGGGGAAUAUUGGACAUUGGGCGCAAGCCUGAUCCAGCCAUGCCGCGUGAGUGACGAAGGUCUUCGGAUUGUAAAGCUCUUUUGGCGGGGAAGAUAAUGACGGUACCCGCAGAAUAAGCCCCGGCUAACUUCGUGCCAGCCGCCGCAGUAACAC